rnacentral:rRNA from 1 species
GACGUGACUUCAGAGUUUGAUCCUGGCUCAGGAUGAACGCUGGCGGCGUGCCUAACACAUGCAAGUCGAGCGAUCUUCUUCGGAAGAGAGCGGCGGACGGGUGAGUAACGCGUGGGUAACCUGCCCUGUACACACGGAUAACAUACCGAAAGGUAUGCUAAUACGAGAUAAUAUACUUUUAUCGCAUGGUAGAAGUAUCAAAGCUCCGGCGGUACAGGAUGGACCCGCGUCUGAUUAGCUAGUUGGUGAGGUAACGGCUCACCAAGGCGACGAUCAGUAGCCGACCUGAGAGGGUGAUCGGCCACAUUGGAACUGAGACACGGUCCAA